ACAACUUUCAACAACGGAUCUCUUGGCUCUCGCAUCGAUGAAGAACGCAGCGAAAUGCGAUAACUAAUGUGAAUUGCAGAAUUCAGUGAAUCAUCGAGUCUUUGAACGCACCUUGCGCCCUUUGGCACUCCGAAGGGCAUGCCUGUUUGAGUUGUCAGUA
rnacentral:rRNA from 1 species